rnacentral:rRNA from 1 species
CCUACGGGGGGCAGCAGUGGGGAAUAUUGCGCAAUGGGCGAAAGCCUGACGCAGCGACGCCGCGUGAGGGAAUAAGGCCCUACGGGUCGUAAACCUCUUUUGCCGGGGAGCAAGGGCGGGGACGUGUCCCGGCCCGGAGAGUACCCGGAGAAAAAGCAUCGGCUAAAUCCGUGCCAGCAGCCGCGGUAAUACGGGGGAUUGGAGUGUUAUCCGGAUUUAUUGGGUUUAAAGGGUGCGUAGGCGGGCUUUUAAGUCAGCGGUAAAAAUUCGGGGCUCAACCCCGUCCGGCCGUUGAAACUGGGGGCCUUGAGUGGGCGAGAGGAAGGCGGAAUGCGUGGUGUAGCGGUGAAAUGCAUAGAUAUCACGCAGAACCCCGAUUGCGAAGGCAGCCUUCCGGCGCCCUACUGACGCUGAGGCACGAAAGUGCGGGGAUCGAACAGGAUUAGAUACCCUGGUAGUC